CUGCCUACCAGCAACCCGGGGUUCGGUAGAAACCUCUUUUUCAAGGUUGAAAUAAGGGAAAUGUUGUGUAAUGGAUUUCACGACUUCCCAAGAGGCUUCAGCACAUGGUAGACCCUUCCAUUGUACCAAUGGCUCUUGCUGUCCAUUUGGUAACUCAUGCAGCUCUAACACUUGGUCUGGAUUCACAGUCCACUCCAACUUGGCAUCCAAAUGGGGUGGCAGGUGGAGACAAGUCCCUGCAGCUCUCCACUGAUUUUCUCAGCUGUGAUAUAUGUAGAAUUGGGUGGAUUGUGGCUGUAGGGGUCAAUUCCAGAUACAUGCCACUGGUUCCCAAGAGGCUUCAAAGGUUGGCAACCUCUUAUAUUUAUUGUGAUGAUCGAUUGGAUUCUUCUCCUGCCACUUAUAUAGUACAAUCGUUUUCCUUGCAGCAUUGCCAUCGUUGCACGGGAAAGCAGUUUGAAGGAAAUCUGUAUUUUAGAUGGUAGAUUGUGGUUCCUGGAGAUAUUAGAAACCAAUUUAGCCAUAAGGAUUGAAGAGAUAUGGGCCAUGUUCUUGUUAUAACCAGAAGCUGGGCUCUUGUGAAAAUGGGCCAGGACAUUUGCUUCGAAUUGGACUCAUUUUAUUGAUAAUUCGGUUGUAAUUAAACACAGCUCCUUUACAG
rnacentral:lncRNA from 1 species